rnacentral:rRNA from 1 species
GUAGGUGGCAAGCGUUGUCCGGAAUUAUUGGGCGUAAAGCGCGCGCAGGCGGUUCUUUAAGUCUGAUGUGAAAGCCCACGGCUCAACCGUGGAGGGUCAUUGGAAACUGGAAAACUUGAGUACAGAAGAGGAAAGCGGAAUUCCACGUGUAGCGGUGAAAUGCGUAGAGAUGUGGAGGAACACCAGUGGCGAAGGCGGCUUUCUGGUCUGUAACUGACGCUGAGGCGCGAAAGCGUGGGGAGCAAACAGGGAUUAGAUACCCUGGUAGUCCACGCCGUAAACGAUGAGUGCUAAGUGUUAGGGGGUUUCCGCCCCCUUAGUGCUGCAGCUAACGCAUUAAGCACUCCGCCUGGGGAUACGGCCGCAAGGCUG